ACAGAGUUAGUCCUUGAUAAUUGUUUAUGUGUCAAUGGGGAAAUUGAAGGCCUGAAUGAUAAUUUUAAGGAACUUGAUUUUCUGAGUAUGGUGAAUGUAGAAUUGAUUUCAUUGGCCCAGCUUAAAUAAACUUUGCAAGCUUGAACUUAGUGACAAUAUAAAUUUCUGGAGGCUUGGAAGUCCUGGCAGGGAAAUAUCCAAAUCUUACCUACCUCAAUCUGAGUGGAAAGAAAAUCAAAGAUCUCAGUACAGUAGAGCCCCUGAAAAAUCUUAAAAAUUUGAAAAGUCUUGACCUGUUUAACUGUGAGAUCACAAACCUGGAAGAUUACAAAGUAUUUUUGAACUGCUGCAGCAAAUCACAUACUUGGAUGGAUUUGAUCAGGAGGAUAAGGAAGCACCAGACUCAGAAGAGGAUAAUGAGGAUGGAGAGGAAGAUGAGGAAAAGAUGAUGCUGGUCCAUUGAAGGAUUUGAAGCAUUUGAAGAGGAGGAGCGGCUCCCCACAGAGGAGGAGGAAGAGGAAGAGGAAGAUGAGGAUGAAGCAGGCUCAGAGGGAGAAUACAAAGAGGAAGUAGGCCUCUCAUAAUGAAAGAAGAAAUUCAGGAUGAAGACGACUUUAAUGAUUACAUUGAUGAAGAGGAAGAAUAGGAGGAAGAGGAAGAAGAAGUUCUUCGGGGAAAGAAGAGGAAACGAGAUGCUGAGGGUGAUGGAAAGGAAAGGACGAUUAGACCCCUUUCAUUUCAGAUUCCACGGGCCUACUGGACGUGCAGUAGAGUGGUCACAACUCUGUUCCAUCCUGGAUGA